CGCACGGGUGAGUAACGCGUAUCCAACCUGCCGUCUACUCUUGGACAGCCUUCUGAAAGGAAGAUUAAUACAAGAUGGCAUCAUGAGUUCACAUGUUCACAUGAUUAAAGGUAUUCCGGUAGACGAUGGGGAUGCGUUCCAUUAGAUAGUAGGCGGGGUAACGGCCCACCUAGUCUUCGAUGGAUAGGGGUUCUGAGAGGAAGGUCCCCCACAUUGGAACUGAGACACGGUCCAA
rnacentral:rRNA from 1 species